rnacentral:rRNA from 1 species
UACGAAGGGGGCUAGCGUUGCUCGGAAUCACUGGGCGUAAAGCGCACGUAGGCGGAUUGUUAAGUCAGGGGUGAAAUCCUGGAGCUCAACUCCAGAACUGCCUUUGAUACUGGCGAUCUCGAGUCCGGGAGAGGUGAGUGGAACUGCGAGUGUAGAGGUGAAAUUCGUAGAUAUUCGCAAGAACACCAGUGGCGAAGGCGGCUCACUGGCCCGGUACUGACGCUGAGGUGGCGAAAGCGUGGGAGC